GCUCUCCCGGGUGACCCCGACCUCCCAGUACGCGGGACGGGCCCGCGCCAGGACUCACCCAGAGGCCGCAGAUCCCCAGAGUAACCGCUUGUCCCUCCUCAAGGCCCUUUGCUUAGGAAGAAAGCAAAGAAUAGAACCUGCAAGAUGGCGUGUUCACUUCCAAUCCUGGCAGCCUGAGCUUGAUCCCCAAGACCCACACGGUCUUGCCUCAGCAUGUGCACCCAAUCACCCAGAGUCCUCAGAAGCAGCAAGAAACUGUGCCACCAGAGGUCUUUUGGUGCGUUUCUCUCUAUGGAGUCCCGACAAAUGCAGCUCAAUUACGCAAUGUAAGGCGGACCAAUACAUGUGUGUUGUUAGCAAA
rnacentral:lncRNA from 1 species